AUUUUUAGUAGAGACGAGGUUUCGCCGUGUUAGCCAGGAUUGUCUGGAUCUCCUGACCUUGUGAUCCACCCACCUUGGCCUCCCAAAGUGCUAGGAUUACAGGUGUGAGCCACGGCGCCCUGAGGACUGGCAGACUCAUUUGACUUUCUUAGAAUAGAGGAGGAAGAGGAGGAAGAAGAGGUGCAAGAGGAAGGCCAGGGUGUGGCUGACAUCUAGCUGGAUGUGGUGGAUGAUUCUGGAGGACCUCUUGCCCUUCUCCUUCAUGACCUGUAGGGCAGGGCCAAGAGGAGGAAGCAGCCUCAGAACACACAAAAGACUCCCUGCCCCAAACGGCAGUCAUCCCACAGUCAGCACUUCUGGAAGGAAGGGAGGAAGGUUUCCUUCUGCAGAAAGCUCCUUUUUGCCUUGUUUCUGAAGCCAGGGAGGGUCAGCAGAGCCCAGCGCACCUGUGGUGCCUGAGUUACCAUCUAUGCCCAGGAUGUGCG
rnacentral:antisense_RNA from 1 species